GCUGCGGCUGGAUUCACCCAAUUAGCCCAGCAGAUAACAAUGACAAAGGCUCCUUCUCUCCCUAACUCCCCCAACCCCCACCUCCCUUAGAGAUACAAACUCUGGAGGGGGAGGUGUGGUGGUGGAACCAAUCGAUCUGUGAUUGAGCGCGUGGCCCAGUCGGGUCCUACCCAGAACCUGACUGCCACCGCUGUGGAAGAAGGCAGCUCCCAGGGUGCUGCAUUCAUCAGAAUUGCUGAGCUGAUCACAUGGUUUUCUUCCUGCCUUCCCCGUUAGCUGCUCCUUGUCAGCAGCUGGCGGAGCCCGAGGCCGUAGGCCAGUGUCUGCAGAAAACCUUUCCCGGCCCUACGUUGCAAAACGCCAGCCUCCUGCUCGCGCUCCCACACCCGCGCCGCCGCCAGCCCGCCUCGCUAACUAAAUGGUUUUCCUCCGUGCCAGGGAGAUUACCGUGGAUCCCAAGGAAGCUGCCUUCUACUAGGCCAUGUUUGCAUUUGAAGAAUUCAGUGAACAGAGUAUUUGCCAAGCCCGGGCUUCCGUGAUGGUCUACGAUGACACCAGUAAGAAAUGGGUGCCAAUCAAACCAGGACAGCAGGGAUUCAGCCGGGUCAACAUCUACCACAAUAAUGCCAGCAAUACCUUUAGAGUCGUGGGUGUUAAGCUUCAAGAUCAACAGGUCGUGAUCAAUUAUUCAAUUGUGAAAGGGCUGAAGUAUAAUCAGGCUACGCCAACAUUUCACCAGUGGCGAGAUGCCCGGCAGGUCUAUGGCUUGAAUUUCGCCAGCAAGGAAGAAGCGACCACCUUCUCUAAUGCAAUGCUCUUUGCUCUGAACAUCAUGAAUUCCCAAGAUGGAGGCCCCCCCUCUCAGCGCCAGGUGCAGAAUGGCCCUUCUCCUGAUGAGAUGGAAGUCCAGAGAAGGCAAGUGAUGGAACAACAGCAACAACGACAGGAGUCCUUGGAGAGAAGAACCUCAACUCCAGGUCCCAUCCUCCCCCCAGGACACCCCUCGUCCACAGCCACUGCCCCUGUACCUUCAGGAGGGCCACCCCCACCCCCACCCCCACCAGUGCCCCCUCCACUCACAGGGGCAGCACCACCGCCACCGCCACCGCCACUGCCAGUAAGUGGGGUGCAAAGCGCCAUCCAUGACGAUGCUUCAGUAUCUGGACUUGCAGCAGCACUGGCUGGUGCAAAACUACGGAGAGUCCAGCGGCCAGAAGAUGGCUCCGGAGUUUCCAGUCCCAGUGGAACUUCAAAGUCAGAAGCCAACCGGACGAGCAGUGGUGGUGGCGGGGGAGGCCUCAUGGAGGAAAUGAACAAAUUGCUGGCCAAGAGGAGAAAAGCAGCUUCCCAGACUGACAAGCCAGCAGAUAGAAAGGAAGAUGAAAGCCAAACUGAAGAAUCUAGCACCUCUCCUUCCCCAGGGUCCCGAGGGGCUGGACAGCCACCAAAUGCCUCAGAUCCUGGAAAGAAGCCCUGGGAGAGGAGCAAUUCUGUGGAGAAACCUGUAGCCUCAUUACUUUCCAGAACCCCGUCAUCGGCGAAGAGCCCCGAAGCUAAGAGUCCCAUUCAGUCACAGCCACACACUAGGAUGAAGCCUGCUGGUAGUGGCAAUGAAGGUGCUCUCGAUGCCUUAGAUUUUGACCGGAUGAAACAGGAAAUACUGGAGGAAGUAGUCAGAGAGCUACACAAAGUCAAAGAGGAGAUCAUUGAUGCUUCUCAUUUUAUUGUUGAAGAGACUGAGAAAUAAAGGUUUAAUGAAGGAGGGAAGCAAUCUAGCUGGCGAGGUGGACAUAUCAAAGAGUAAGGAACACCACCUGAGUUCAAUAAGGACCCAAAGAAGCCAUCAGGCAGGAGCUGAGCCGGAUCAGCACGACAUAGUGAUGGGCCAGCCUCAAACUAGCCCCGGGGCUUUCCAGCCUGGUCCAGGACUCUAGGAAGACUGAAUCAACUCACAGGGCACUGAAGUGCUCCGAGGGCACUUCUCACCCUACCCCCACCCCACCCUACCCUCUACUCCUUGGUCCAGAAUCCCUUUUUAUUAGCAGACACAGCAUACAGUGAAGCUUUGCUGUCUGAGAUUCACUUCAUUUAAAAAGUCUUAACCUAAAGGAAAAAAAAAAUUUUUUAAGAGGAUUUAAAAUUCCUGGAUUUUCUCUAGCCCACCUGACACUGCCCAUUUGGUUGUUUGUUGCCUUUUUUUGUAUUUUGUAUUUGCUUAUCUAAGUGUAGGAUGUUUCUUUUUAGUGGUAGAGAGGACAGCAGGAACCAUUUGCUUCCUAGGUGACAGAAGGGCCCUGAGGCCAGCCAUCAGCAAGUGAGGACCAUCUACCAACCGUCAGGGGACAGUUGUCAUGUGGGGGGAGGGGGGAGCCCCACCGGGAAACACAAAGGCAGAGGCACUUGGGGCAUGGGAUGAGUGGGUGGAUUCCAGGGUCUCACAAUAUACAAACGGUACGUCAGUGCGCCACAGUGUCUGUGUUCAUGUGGGUAAUAAACUGUUUACUGUCCACCCGGA